GCAGUCGAGGGGCAGCAUGAUCUUAGCUUGCUAAGGCCGAUGGCGACCGGCGCACGGGUGAGUAACACGUAUCCAACCUGCCGUCUACUCUUGGACAGCCUUCUGAAAGGAAGAUUAAUACAAGAUGGCAUCAUGAGUCCGCAUGUUCACAUGAUUAAAGGUAUUCCGGUAGACGAUGGGGAUGCGUUCCAUUAGAUAGUAGGCGGGGUAACGGCCCACCUAGUCUUCGAUGGAUAGGGGUUCUGAGAGGAAGGUCCCCCACAUUGGAACUGAGACACGGUCCAAACUCCUACGGGAGGCAGCAGUGAGGAAUAUUGGUCAAUGGGCGAGAGCCUGAACCAGCCAAGUAGCGUGAAGGAUGACUGCCCUAUGGGUUGUAAACUUCUUUUAUAAAGGAAUAAAGUCGGGUAUGCAUACCCGUUUGCAUGUACUUUAUGAAUAAGGAUCGGCUAACUCCGUGCCAGCAGCCGCGGUAAUACGGAGGAUCCGAGCGUUAUCCGGAUUUAUUGGGUUUAAAGGGAGCGUAGAUGGAUGUUUAAGUCAGUUGUGAAAGUUUGCGGCUCAACCGUAAAAUUGCAGUUGAUACUGGAUAUCUUGAGUGCAGUUGAGGCAGGCGGAAUUCGUGGUGUAGCGGUGAAAUGCUUAGAUAUCACGAAGAACUCCGAUUGCGAAGGCAGCCUGCUAAGCUGCAACUGACAUUGAGGCUCGAAAGUGUGGGUAUCAAACAGGAUUAGAUACCCUGGUAGUCCACACGGUAAACGAUGAAUACUCGCUGUUUGCGAUAUACUGCAAGCGGCCAAGCGAAAGCGUUAAGUAUUCCACCUGGGGAGUACGCCG
rnacentral:rRNA from 1 species